AAUUUAACGUUUCGUUAUUUAAUUAUUAAAUUUGAUGUUAAAUAUUUGGGUAUGUAUGUUACCUUUUUCAGAUUAGUUCUAAAGCGAAGCAGGUACUCAUAGUUUGACUGAUGCAAUAGCAACCUUUAAAAAAUAGCCAUGAAGAAACAUUGGACCUUAGAAGUGUGGUUAGUAAUGACAUAUCAGUUUUAUUUUUCCUUGGCUGUUGCCAAAGGAGAAGGCCUGAUUUGUAAAAAUAAGCCAGUUUCUUUCAGGUGUUACUGCCUUGUCAGUUAAUAGAAACAGUUCUAGAGAUCAGUCUUUAAUUAAAGAAUACAAAUCUCUAUUAGCUUGAUACAUGUGGUUGGAUCAGGUCUUCAAGACCACCAAUGCAGCAGGAAUGUCCUGGUGAUGUCAUUAACCACAUACAGAAAGAACUGCAGAAAGCUGACUUGAAUUAUGCAGUGAACUAUGAGCAACGUUUAAUGAGCUGAGGAAAAUUGUGCUUUGUUAGUUAGCUUCACUCCCCAAAAGCCUCACAACAAACUGAAAGCGUGUCACAUUGGUCAUAUUCUUCUACUUAAUAAUUUGGACCAGAAUUUUCCUUGGUUUUGAAUGUAUAUUCUCUAAAAAGAGACUCAGCUUUUGGACUCAGAUGUGAAGAAGGCACUCGGGAGGCAUCGCCAAGAGUAGGUUGCUUAUGUCUGGAUCCUUCCUGAUGUACUUUGAUUCCUUCUGCUCCCACAGGGCAUACUGCCUUCCUUGACUCCUAUUCUUUCAUCCUGCCACUUACCAGCAGUCCUUCAAACAGGAGCAAUGAGUGGUUAGAAGAGAGUAUUAGCUGUUUUAUGGACUGAUGUAAUAACUCUCACUCCAGUAGGAAAAUACAGGAUCUUUUAAAAUUGCAUGUUUCUAAGUGUGACCUAGUUGGUAUAGCACAGAUCUGGAAUCUAACACUGUGUCAUCAGGCAGAUAAUUUAAUUCACCUCAUUUCUCUGUAAGAUGGGGAUAACAAUAAUCAUUCUUGAACAUGAUUCUUAAGAAUUGCUUUGUGUUGUGCACCUGAAAGAUGAUGAGCUGCUAAUUAAACAU
rnacentral:lncRNA from 1 species